GGGGAAUUUUGCGCAAUGGGGGAAACCCUGACGCAGCAACGCCGCGUGGGUGAUGAAGGCCUUCGGGUCGUAAAGCUCUGUCUGGAGGGAAGAAAUGAUUGGGAGCUAAUACCUCUUGAUCUUGACGGUACCUCUGAAGGAAGCACCGGCUAACUCCGUGCCAGCAGCCGCGGUAAUACGGAGGGUGCAAGCGUUGUUCGGAAUUAUUGGGCGUAAAGCGCGUGUAGGCGGUCUUUUAAGUCUGAUGUGAAAGCCCCGGGCUCAACCUGGGAAGUGCAUUGGAAACUAGGAGGCUUGAGUACGGGAGAGGAGAGUGGAAUUCCUAGUGUAGGAGUGAAAUCCGUAGAUAUUAGGAGGAACACCGGUGGCGAAGGCAGCCCCCUGGGCCGAUACUGACGCUCAUGCACGAAAGCGUGGGGAGCAAAC
rnacentral:rRNA from 1 species